GAUGAACGCUAGCGAUAGGCUUAACACAUGCAAGUCGAGGGGCAGCAAGACAAUAGCAAUAUUGUUGUUGGCGACCGGCGCACGGGUGAGUAACGCGUAUGCAACCUACCUACAACAAGGGGAUAGCUCGGCGAAAGUCGGAUUAAUACCGUAUAACACAGGGAUCCCGCAUGGGAAUAUUUGUUAAAGAUUUAUCGGUUGUAGAUGGGCAUGCGUAACAUUAGCUUGUUGGUGAGGUAACGGCUCACCAAGGCUACGAUGUUUAGGGGUUCUGAGAGGAAGGUCCCCCACACUGGUACUGAGACACGGACCAGACUCCUACGGGAGGCAGCAGUGAGGAAUAUUGGUCAAUGGGCGAGAGCCUGAACCAGCCAAAUCGCGUGAAGGAUGAAGGUAUUCUGUAUUGUAAACUUCUUUUAUACGGGAAUAAAGUGCAUCACGUGUGAUGUUUUGUAUGUACCGUACGAAUAAGCACCGGCUAACUCCGUGCCAGCAGCCGCCGUAACAC
rnacentral:rRNA from 1 species